UGCACACAGAUCAGCUCCUUGCAGCCUCGGCUGGACCCCGCGGUGCUCAAGGCAGCCGGGUGAGGACAGACACACACAGCAGUGCUGGAAGCAGUCCCUGGAGACGUCAUGUGGAUCAGCUGGUGGCUCUGGCCCCUCGUGGCCCUCUGCACCGGAGACCAGUUCCGGAAUGAGGCUGAGAGAAUCAUGCGGGACACACCUGUCAUCGACGGGCACAACGACCUUCCCUGGCAGCUGCUAACCAUGUUCAACAACCAGCUCCAGCAAGAGAAGGCCAACCUGACGAGCCUCGCCCAAACACACACCAACAUCCCCAAGCUGAAGGCUGGCUUUGUGGGGGGCCAGUUCUGGUCUGCAUACACCCCCUGCGACACCCAGAACAAAGACGCUGUGAAGAGGAUACUGGAGCAGAUCGAUGUCAUCCACCGCAUGUGCCAGAUGUACCCUGAGACCUUUGUGUGCGUCACCGACAGCGCAGGCAUCCGGCAGGCCUUCCAGCAGGGGCGCAUAGCCAGCCUCGUUGGCGUGGAGGGCGGCCACUCCAUAGACAGCAGCCUGGGCGUCCUGCGGGCACUCUACCACCUGGGCAUGCGGUACCUGACCCUCACCCACAGCUGCAACACGCCCUGGGCUGACAACUGGCUGGUGGACAAAGAUGACAAGGCCCGGAGCCAAGGCCUGUCAGACUUCGGCCAGAGCGUGGUGAAGGAGAUGAACCGGCUGGGGGUCAUCAUUGACUUGGCCCACGUGUCCGAGGCCACCAUGAGGGCGGCCCUGAAUCUGUCCAAGGCUCCCGUCAUCUUCAGCCACUCCUCCGCCUUCAGCCUGUGCCCGCACCGGCGCAAUGUGCCCGAUACUGUGCUCCAGCUGGUGAACCAGACAGGCAGCCUGGUGAUGGUGAAUUUCUACAACGACUAUGUUUCCUGCCGAAAGGAGGCGACCCUGUCCCAGGUAGCAGACCAUCUGGACCACAUCAAGAAGGUGGCGGGAGCCGGAGCCGUGGGCUUUGGUGGGGACUUUGACGGUGUUUCAAGGGUCCCCUCGGGGCUUGAGGACGUGUCCAAGUACCCAGACCUGGUGGCCGAGCUGCUCAGAAGGCAGUGGACAGAGGCGGAGGUCAGGGGCGCCCUGGCCCACAACCUGCUCAGGGUCUUCAAGGCAGUGGAACAGGUGAGCGAUCACACGCAAACUCCUGAGGAGGAGCCCAUCCCACUGGACAAGCUGGAGCAUUCCUGCAGGACCAAGUAUGGCUACUCAGAGGCCCCCAGCUUCCACCACCAGCCAGGGGCCCUGCUGGCCUCCCUUACCACCAUCCUCCUCGGCCUGAGUCUUCUUUGAUGCCCUGGGAUCUGGACCUCCUGGGUCCCUACAGCUCUGGGGAGACUGUGGCCACCAGAGCAGGGAGAUUCCAGGAUGCUGCUCCCCACGCACAAGGCCUGGCCUCUCCUGACCAGGUGAGGAGAAAAAGAAGGGGCGCGGCUCUUCCACUGCAAAGACUAAGGAAAGGUCGAUGGACAGGCGUUCUCAAGAGACCGAGAGGCCUCCAGACACCAAGGCUGCAGAGAGCUGCCAAGGGAAGAAAGGGGCAGCCAAGCCACAGUGGCCUUCUUCAUCUGAAGUCGAAG